UACGUAGGGUGCGAGCGUUAAACGGAAUUACUGGGCGUAAAGCGUGCGCCGGCGGCUUUGCAAGACAGAUGUGAAAUCCCCGGGCUCAACCUGGGAACUGCAUUUGUGACUGCAAGGCUAGAGUACGGCAGAGGGGGAUGGAAUUCCGCGUGUAGCAGUGAAAUGCGUAGAUAUGCGGAGGAACACCAAUGGCGAAGGCAAUCCCCUGGGCCUGUACUGACGCUCAUGCACGAAAGCGUGGGGAGCAAACAGG
rnacentral:rRNA from 1 species